UGGAGCAUGUGGAUUAAUUCGUCACUAACCGAAGAACCUUACCCAGGUUUGACAUCGAGGGUAAGACCAUGAAAGUGAUCCCUCUAGCAAUAGACCCGAAGACAGGUGUUGCAUGGCUGUCGUCAGCUCGUGUCGUGAGAUGUUGGGUUAAGUCCCGCAACGAGCGCAACCCUCACCGUAUGUUGCCAGCGUAAAGUCGGGAACUCUUACGGAACUGCCCGUGCAAGCGGGAGGAAGGUGGGGAUGACGUCAAGUCGGCAUGGCCCUUACACCUGGGGCUUCACACAUGCUACAAUGGGCGUCAACAGAGGGGUGCAAGGCCGCGAGGUCAAGCAAAUCCCAAAAAUACGUCCUCAGUUCGGAUUGCAGGCUGCAACUCGCCUGCAUGAAGCUGGAAUCGCUAGUAACCGCAGGUCAGCUAUACUGCGGUGAAUACGUUCCCGGGGUUUGUACACACCGCCCGUCAAGUCACCUGAAUUGUCUGCACCCGA
rnacentral:rRNA from 1 species